ACUCAUCGAAUUCAAGUCUAGUUUCUGGAUCUAUCAAAAUAUCUCGAAUCUCGACUUUGAAGAAAAAUGUUCAAUAUAAAUAUAAAAAAUAUUAUUUUUUAGCGUCUUAAGCUACUGAAGAACAAUAUUUGUUUCACAUUAUUUCACAUAUAUUUCUAAAUUCGGCGUAAGAUUUAUAUUCCACGCAAUCAAAUGUUCAUAUUUUGAUAUU
rnacentral:lncRNA from 1 species